CGCUUUAUCAUUAGUACUUCCGCCGGCGCCCAUCGUGAGAAGUUUCCUGUGGCGUGGAUGUUUCCUCUCCGGUCAGUGCCAUCCACCCAAAUCUAUUGACAUCCCGCGUGUUCCGGGCUGUCUGCUCGACCCCCCAGUGCAGGGCGCCAAGGCUGGAGACUGCGCGGCCCUUCUGCAGACCGAUGGAAGCUCCUUGGGUCGACAGAUUACAGCUUCUGCAGCAGCUGGAGCCCAGCUACUCCCUUCAGCCACGUGGUGGGUGCCCACUGUCCCCAGGGAGAGGAUGUCUGGAAAUAAUAGCUUGGAUCUACAGUGGCCAUAAAGUUGGCUCCAACCCACUAGACUGACAAGACUACGGUGCUCCUGAGUGAGGAUUGUGCCCUGGGAUCUGGGGUGCAGUUUCUUCAGUUACAUAUGUGAAGUGCCAGGAGAGACGGCACACUCCAGAGUGCCGUGUCCUGACGCGCCUUUGAGCAGCCAGCACAGCAGAUCAUCAGACCCGUCUCCAGAGAGCUCUGGUUCCUCCUCCAGAACAGACUGGCUGCUCAGGAGGCCAUAGCAGGACUGUCAGUUGAUCUCUGCCACGUGUGCUCAACAGUCGUGUGCUCAACAGUCGUUGACUUUCCAGAAGAGGCUGGAACAGGGCCCUUGAAGAUGAUUGUGGACACCAGAGGGCCAGGAGUGGACAACAAAACCACAAAGUGACACUAGACCCUGCCUCUUCAGCAUCAUGAAACAGCUUUUUACUGUGCUUAGUCAUUGCCUCAAGCAUGGGAGACUCCAGCAUACACCACCUCUUCUGUCCCUGUGACCAUCUGCUAGUGUCUGGAAUGACUAAUGGCUAGAACUUGUUGCCAACUUCCUGUUACUUUCCCAACGGCUGUGCAAUGAACCUCAUAGGUUAAUUCAGUCUGGCUUUGAAAUCCGUGUCAAUUCAUGAACUCAGGACUGGCUGUGGAAAAGGAAGGCCAGUUCCUGUCACUCCUUGUGCCUUUCCUGUCCUUAAUGCCCCCUGAGGCUUGGGCUUCAGGGUGUUGGAAGUGAACUGUGAGGGCUGGUGCUGGUAGCCUAUGGGCAUUUAGGGUUGUGAGAGUUGAGAGAUUGCUGAAGACAAGGUCAGGACUUGGGGAAGGUGUCUGUCGGUAAGGAAGGCUGGGGUGUCAGUUCUAGGAAGUGAAGUCUCACUACUGAAGUGAAUGGGCAAAGGGACUGAGAGAGAAUUCAGAGCAUCUUGCUGACAGGACAGAUUGCUGUAGACAGGUGGGAGUUGUUGCCAUGGGAAUGAGGGUAUGCUCUGCAGACUGGCUUCAGGCCCUUAAGGAACACAAGUGCUCCCACUGGGUGGGAUGCCAGGUGGGAGGAAGAAGAAACCCUCUUGAGUAGCUUGGAUACCAAUAGGGCAAAAGAGAAACUGGCAAAGAGAAAGGGUGUGAUAACUGAUGGGUUUGUAACUAGGACUUUUUAUUUAAGACAUGAAGGACUGUGGAAGGCUUAGUGGGUAAGCAUGCUUGCUGAGUUUAAUUCCCAGAACACAAACAGGUAGAUGAUAAAAUUUUAAAAGUUAAACAUUUUUCUUGUUUGAGAAUUCUAAGUUUUGCUUUUUAAACUGAGUCCAUGUAGGGAGGUCUGCAGUUCAGACUAGAAGACGUACGAUCAUGGGACGGGAAGUUAGAGAUGGGCUUGGGCGUCCUGACAUGAAUGCUGGGUACUGAACUGACCUCUGCAAGAACAGCUCAUCUUUAAGUGAUAAGCCGUCUCUCCAGGCCUGUGAAGAGGGUUUAACAUUUAUUUAUAAUGUUUUAUUUAUAUACAUCAUACAGCUUUCUGCCUGCGUGUAUGCGCCUGCAGGCCAGAAGAGGGCACCAGACACGAUUAUAGAUGGUUGUGAGCCACCAUGUGGUUGCUGGGAAUUGAACUCAGGACCUCUGGAAGAGCAGACAGUGCUCUUAACCACUGAGCCAUCUCUCCAGCCCCGUGAAGAGGGUUUAAGUCUUGUUAGGUUAUAGGUGUGGACAGUUAACCCCAUACUCUGGGGUUGUAGGAACACAAAAGCUAAUUUACUUUAGAGAAAAAAUUUGAGUUACUCUAUUUGAGUGGCGUAGUCUUUUCCAUCCCAAGAAGGUAUUAGCUAAGAUUUGUCUUGAUCACGUGACAUUGCUUUUGCAAUGGUUUAUAAGCAUCCUGAAUAAGCUAAAGAAGGGUCUAGGAAUGUUGAAUUUUUAUGUAAAAUUUUUAUUUUAACUUCUAAUGUUACUGGGCCUUGUGGUGGACACUUAGACAAGGCUGGGGUUGACAGUAACUUCCAUUUAGUUUUUGGGCAUUCCCACUAGCAUUGGUUACUGUACAAAUUUAUUUGAUAAAAGUCUUGAAUGAUCAAGGAAGGGAAUGGAGCUGGCUCCACUGCUGAUUGGGAAGAAAGUUAACAUUGGUACCUAUAGCGGGACUGUCUCUGACCUGUCAGUAGUAAAAGUGACACGAGACUUAGUAAUAUUUUAAAGCUUAGGCCUUUGGCUGAGGAGUCUCCGAACUACACUAACCUAAUUCUGGCACUAUGUCCUGUAGGCUGAUGUCCUUAUGUAGGUGAAGGUAGACACAUAAAACGAGGCCUGUCAUUGGAUGAGAAGGAAGGGAGGCGGGAACAAAGUUUUAGAAGGAAAGGGAGAAGAACAAAGGGAAGAGAAUCAAGAUGGAGAUUGAGAAGGAUGACCCAGAUCCGGGUGGUCUUGAAUGGCCCUAGGCUAUAUAUAUAUGUCUAUAUAUACAUGUAUAUAUGUGUAUAUAUAUAUAUUUUAAGGGAUGGAUUUCUAUAGGUAAAUCUAGGUGGGCAGUUUAUAUCCUUAUCAACUGGUUGUGAGUUUAUUGUGUGAAUGUAGUGAGGAUUGAAAAUUUAACAUAUAGGAGGCUGGAGAGAUGGCUCAGUGGUUAAGAGCACUGACUGCUCUUCCAGAGGUCGCGAGUUCAAAUCCCAACAACCACAUGGUGGCUCACAACCAUCUGUAAUGAGAUCUGAUGCCUUCUUCUGGUGUGUCUGAAGACAGCUACAGUGUACUUAUAUAUAAUAAAUCAAUCCUUUAAAAAGAAAAGAAAA